UCAGGAUGAACGCUAGCGGCAGGCUUAACACAUGCAAGUCGAGGGGCAUCGGGUCUAGCAAUAGAUGCCGGCGACCGGCGAAAGGGUGAGUAACGCGUGAGCAACGUGCCCGUAUGUGGGGGAUAGUCAUUGGAAACGAUGCGUAAUACCCCGUAACACAUUAUUCCGCAUGGGAUGAUGUUGAAAGAUUGAUUGCAUACGGAUCGGCUCGCGUACCAUUAGGUAGACGGCGGGGUAACGGCCCACCGUGCCGACGAUGGUUAGGGGUUCUGAGAGGAAGGUCCCCCACAUUGGAACUGAGACACGGUCCAGACUCCUACGGGAGGCAGCAGUGAGGAAUAUUGGACAAUGGCCGGAAGGCUGAUCCAGCCAUGCCGCGUGCGGGAUGACGGCCCUAUGGGUUGUAAACCGCUUUUGCGGGGGAGCAAUAAGGUGCACGUGUGCACCGAUGAGAGUACCCUGCGAAUAAGCAUCGGCUACCUCCGUGCCAGCCGCAGC
rnacentral:rRNA from 1 species